rnacentral:lncRNA from 1 species
UCCGACUCUGAUUGCUUUCCAUGUAACAACUAACUAGGAUUAGAUCCUAUUCGCCUUGUUACCCUAGAUCAUCAGCCCAUAUAAGGCGACUAGGGACACCCCCCGAAGGUAACUCAACCCAAUGCAUGUCGACUCAUCGCAUCCCAUACCAGCAAUACAAUCCACCAGAACAUAGGAUGUAGGGUAUUACUCUCCGGAGACCCAAACCUAUCUAAACCUUGUGUUUCUGUAUUACCAUCUUGCGGUCUCCACCUCCUACAAAUCAGACAUCGACCUGUGCCCUUGUUCAUCCC